rnacentral:rRNA from 1 species
GGUGUUUGGCACCUCGAUGUCGGCUCAUCACAUCCUGGGGCUGAAGUAGGUCCCAAGGGUAUGGCUGUUCGCCAUUUAAAGUGGUACGCGAGCUGGGUUUAGAACGUCGUGAGACAGUUCGGUCCCUAUCUGCCGUGGGCGCUGGAGAACUGAGGGGGGCUGCUCCUAGUACGAGAGGACCGGAGUGGACGCAUCACUGGUGUUCGGGUUGUCAUGCCAAUGGCACUGCCCGGUAGCUAAAUGCGGAAGAGAUAAGUGCUGAAAGCAUCUAAGCACGAAACUUGCCCCGAGAUGAGUUCUCCCUGACUCCUUGAGAGUCCUGAAGGAACGUUGAAGACGACGACGUUGAUAGGCCGGGUGUGUAAGCGCAGCGAUGCGUUGAGCUAACCGGUACUAAUGAACCGUGAGGCUUAACCUUACAACGCCGAAG